UUUGGUUUUCUUACAUUUGCAUAGCCUAAUUAAAUGAGUAGUUCCACUAUUUUUAAUUCACAAUACAACAAAUGAAUUACACUCUAUCAUUCCCCAAGUAUAGAGACCUCACAUUUGUGUAUAAAGACUAGAGCACUCACCUCUAAAGUCUCCCUUUAAGAAUUUAGACUAUAAACACAACUUGUUUACACUUCAAUUGCACUCACAAAUAUGUUCCUCAAUGAAUAGAUAGAUGCUUGUAAAUAAACCUAUAUAAGUCUAUCAAAUCUAUAUAUGUUCGAAUCUUGUUAAUAUACUAGAGAUCAACUACAAUUCAAUCUCUAUUAAAUAAUAAUAUACAAUAUAUUAAUAAAGUCCAAUGUAAAGUAAAAUUCUUGGAGAUAUGUCUUUAAUGUAGUCCAGUUCCAAUCUCUAUAUUUCAAAGGAUUUGAUUGUUUGCUCCAAUUCGAUCAAAUCUUCAAUAAUUUGUUGCUCCACAAGAUGGAUCUUCAAAUAUGGGCCAACACACAUCUACAAAAUCAUUUAAGUCAGGUCCCAAGUGAUUUGGUUGAAAAGUUUUCCAAGUCCAAAUAAGAAAAAUUAUGUUGUUUGUCAAAGUGCCUGACUGCAGUGGCCACUUCUGCUAGCACUUCGACAUCACUUCAAAAACACUUGCCUCAACAAUAAAACCUCUAUCAAGGUUGAUCAAACCUUCCAUAUUUAUGACACAAAUCCAUCUUCACAAAGUAAGCUUUACUCCAUCAUGAUCUGCCCAAAUCUCAUCAAAUUGAUUGUCCUGAAUAUAAGGAUACAAAAGAUCAUAAAGUCACUCCAUAUAUAUUCUUGGAUUGCAUAUCGUAGUAUACAAGGUAAGUAGAUCACAUAAGAACUCUUUAAAAGUAAAUUUACUUAUUCAAUCUCUUGUCUAAUGGUAAACAUGAGAUUGGUUGCACAAAAUCCUUUCAAAGAGACAAUCAAAUCAUCAAAAUAUUUUAGUUAAGCAUGCCAACAAAUAAGACAAAUUGUGUGAUUGGAGCAAUGUUAACCGAAGUGAGCACUUCCAUCAACCACUUUCAAAACUUGCCUUAACAAUCUUCCCUUUGGCAUUUUUAACCGAAAAACCAUGUAGUGAAUUCUUCAAGCAAGAAAUGCAACACGAGCAUCAGCAACAAGAAGUUAAAACUCCCCCUCAAACUCAACUUAUUCUCUCCCUGUUUUUGGACAAAAAUCCAAUAAAACUUCGGGCAAUUGCAAUUGAAGAAGCAUCUUCAUAAACUGAAGUUUUAUCAAUCAUACAAAGCAAUAACAUGUAGACAGCGUCAUGAACAAACAAAACAAAUAAUAACAAGCAUGGAAAAGAAAAACUCCCCCUUAGUAAUACCAUCAGCACACUCCCCUCAAUAAAUAUAAAUUUUUAAUGUAUAUUCAAUAGUAAUAUUUAUUAAAAAUGUCAUAAAUAAAUAAAUAAAUAAAUAUAUUCAAAAAAAAUCUAGACGGUCUAUUGUAUACUUAGCACUAGUACUUAGUAGAUGUUAAUGUAUCAAUACAUGCAUUAUAAUGUCAUGGAAAGUAUACUCACAAAGAUUGAAGAAGAGAGAUGAAGAUUGCAUAAUAUUUAAAAGAUAAUAGCUGGAAGAAAAUGACAGUCUUCAUGGAAAGAAGCUGAAUAAACUUACUCUACUUGCUCUGGUCUGCUAUAUAUACACGAUAUUCAGC
rnacentral:lncRNA from 1 species